GACGAACGCUGGCGGCGCGCCUAACACAUGCAAGUCGAGCGAUGAAAUUUUAACCGAUCUCUUCGGAGAGAAGAUAAACUGGAUUAGCGGCGGACGGGUGAGUAACACGUGAGAAACCUGCCUUUCACAAGGGGAUAGCCUCGGGAAACCGGGAUUAAUACCCUAUGACACAUUUCCUUCGCAUGGAAGAAAUGUUAAAACUCCGGUGGUGAAAGAUGGUCUCGCGCCUGAUUAGCUAGUUGGUGGGGUAACGGCCCACCAAGGCCAUGAUCAGUAACCGGCCUGAGAGGGUGAACGGUCACAUUGGAACUGAGACACGGUCCAAACUCCUACGGGAGGCAGCAGUGGGGAAUAUUGCACAAUGGAGGAAACUCUGAUGCAGCGACGCCGCGUGAGCGAUGAAGGCUUUCGAGUCGUAAAGCUCUGUCCUAUGGGAAGAUAAUGACGGUACCAUAGGAGGAAGCCCCGGCUAACUACGUG
rnacentral:rRNA from 1 species